rnacentral:rRNA from 1 species
CGUCAUACUUCCAAGAAAAGCUUGCAAUGUCAUAAACAAAUAAUGCCUGUACCAUAACCGACACAGGUGGGUAGGUAGAGUAUACUAAGGGGCGCGAGAUAACUCUCUCUAAGGAACUCGGCAAAAUGACUCCGUAACUUCGGGAGAAGGAGUGCCUUAUUUUUAUAAGGUUGCAAUAACAAGAUCCAAGCAACUGUUUACCAAAAACACAGGUCUCCGCUAAGUCGUAAGACGAUGUAUGGGGGCUGACGCCUGCCCAGUGCCAGAAGGUUAAAGAAGUUGGUUAGCAUUAGCGAAGCUGAUAACUGAAGCCCUGGUGAACGGCGGCCGUAACUAUAACGGUCCUAAGGUAGCGAAAUUCCUUGUCGGGUAAGUUCCGACCCGCACGAAAGGCGUAAUGAUUUGGAUACUGUCUCGGAGAGGGGCUCGGUGAAAUAGACUUGUCUGUGAAGAUGCGGACUACCUGCACCUGGACAGAAAGACCCUAUGAAGCUUUACUGUAACUUGAGAUUGAAAUUGGACUUUAUCUGCGCAGUAUAGGUGGGAGACGUUGAAAAUAUUCUUGCGGGAAUAUUGUAGUCAUCAGUGAGAUACCACUCUUAUAAUGUUAGAUUUCUAACUUUGUAUCAUUAUCUGGUCAAAGAACAGUUUCAGGCGGGCAGUUUGACUGGGGCGGUCGCCUCCCAAACGGUAACGGAGGCGCACAAAGGUUUCCUCUGAACGUGUAGAAAUCGUAUCUAGAGUGUAAAGGCAUAAGGAAGCUUGACUGUGAGACCUACAAGUCGAGCAGGGACGAAAGUCGGUCUUAGUGAUCUGACGGUGCUGAGUGGAAAGGCCGUCACUCAACGGAUAAAAGUUACUCUAGGAUAACAGGCUGAUCUCCCCCAAGAGUUCACAUCGACGGGGAGGUUUGGCACCUCGAUGUCGGCUCAUCGCAUCCUGGGGCGGUAGUACGUCCCAAGGGUUGGGCUGUUCGCCCAUGAAAGCGGUACGCGAGCUGGGUUCAGAACGUCGUGAGACAGUUCGGUCCAUAUCCGGUGUAGGCGUUAGAAUAUUGAGAGGAGCCUUCUUUAGUACGAGAGGACCGAGAAGGACAUACCUCUGGUGUACCAGUUAUCGUGCCAACGGUAAACGCUGGGUAGCCAUGUAUGGAGAGGAUAACCGCUGAAAGCAUCUAAGUGGGAAGCCCACCUCAAGAUAAGUA